rnacentral:rRNA from 1 species
GCUUGCUUCCGAUAGACGUCGACCGGCGCACGGGUGAGUAACGCGUAUCCAACCUGCCCAUCACUUGGGGAUAACCUUGCGAAAGUAAGACUAAUACCCAAUGAUAUCUCUAGAAGACAUCUGAAAGAGAUUAAAGAUUUAUCGGUGAUGGAUGGGGAUGCGUCUGAUUAGCUUGUUGGCGGGGUAACGGCCCACCAAGGCGACGAUCAGUAGGGGUUCUGAGAGGAAGGUCCCCCACAUUGGAACUGAGACACGGCCCAAACUCCUACGGGAGGCAGCAGUGAGGAAUAUUGGUCAAUGGGCGAGAGCCUGAACCAGCCAAGUAGCGUGCAGGAUGACGGCCCUAUGGGUUGUAAACUGCUUUUAUAAGGGAAUAAAGUGAGCCUCGUGAGGCUUUUCGCAUGUACCUUAUGAAUAAGGACCGGCUAAUUCCGUGCCAGCAGCCGCGGUAAUACGGAAGGUCCGGGCGUUAUCCGGAUUUAUUGGGUUUAAAGGGAGCGUAGGCCGGAGAUUAAGCGUGUUGUGAAAUGUAAAUGCUCAACAUCUGCACUGCAGCGCGAACUGUUUUCCUUGAGUACGCACAAAGUGGGCGGAAUUCGUGGUGUAGCGGUGAAAUGCUUAGAUAUCACGAAGAACUCCGAUUGCGAAGGCAGCUCACUGGAGCGCAACUGACGCUGAAGCUCGAAAGUGCGGGUAUCGAACAGGAUUAGAUACCCUGGUAGUCCGCACGGUAAACGAUGGAUGCCCGCUGUUGGUCUGAAUAGGUCAGCGGCCAAGCGAAAGCAUUAAGCAUCCCACCUGGGGAGUACGCCGGCAACGGUGCAACUCAAAUGAAUUGACGG